UACGAAGGGGGCUAGCGUUGCUCGGAAUCACUGGGCGUAAAGGGUGCGUAGGCGGGUCUUUUAAGUCAGGGGUGAAAUCCUGGAGCUCAACUCCAGAACUGCCUUUGAUACUGAAGAUCUUGAGUUCGGGAGAGGUGAGUGGAACUGCGAGUGUAGAGGUGAAAUUCGUAGAUAUUCGCAAGAACACCAGUGGCGAAGGCGCUCACUGGCCCGAUACUGACGCUGAGGCACGAAAGCGUGGGGGAGCAAACAGG
rnacentral:rRNA from 1 species